rnacentral:tRNA from 2 species
GGGGCUGUAGCUCAGCUGGGAGAGCGCCUCAAUGGCAUUGAGGAGGCCACCGGUUCGAUCCCGGUCAGCUCCA